rnacentral:tRNA from 1 species
GGAAAAGUUGCUAUAGGUAGGGUAAGAUAUUUGCUAAAUAUUGUCUAUAAUAGACCUAGAUGUUCGAAUCAUCUCUUUUCCGAAGAGUUAA